rnacentral:tmRNA from 1 species
GGCUGGUGAUGUUCUCCAGCCGGUCGAGCAGGCGCAGUUCUUCCUGGCGCGUGAGGCGCAGGAUGCGCAGGUCGGCGCCGGGCGCGUCCAGCAACUGGUCGCGCUCGCAGAUACAGGUGCCGGGCGGGCAGGGGUUGCGCAGGGGGAUGGAUGGCGUCAUGCAUCGAUCAUAGCGACAGGCCGGCGUGCUUGCGUAUGGCCGUAAGUACCGAGCGAUGGCAUCGUGCUGCACAUUUUCCCGCCGGGGUUGUCCAACCGGGGUAUUCGGGCCUGACGGCCUUGCGUCCCGGCGGCCUGUUCAAGCAGGCUGGGGCGCUCCAGGGGUGAUAUCGCAUUGCGCCGGACGGAUUGGAAUCGCGCAUCACGAGCGCUAUCAGGUGAGGGAGGUUUCCAUGGGGGGCAUGCAUCGCGUGUCGCGGCUCGCGGCGUUGGCGUUCGGGGUGGCCGUGGCCACCCACGCUGCGGCCAGCGAGGAGUCGCAACUGGUCGAAUCGAUCAACCUGUACCGCAGCCAGGUGCAGAGCUGUGCGGGCGAGGCGUCCCUGGAGCUGCCGCCGCUGGCGGCGGACCCGCGCCUGGUGCUUUCGGCCAGCAGCAUCGGCGACCUGCAACAGGCGCUGGCGCAGUCGUCCUAUCCCAUGGUCAACGUGCAGGCCAUCAGCCUCUCCGGCCCGCGUGACGCCAAGUCCGCCAUGGGGGCCCUGCAGGAGAGCUUCUGCCACGUGCUGCUCGACCCGCAGUUCGUCGACGUCGGCGUGAGCCGCGAGGAG